rnacentral:rRNA from 1 species
CACGUAGGGCGCAAGCGUUGUCCGGAAUUAUUGGGCGUAAAGAGCUCGUAGGUGGUUUGUUACGUCUGCUGUGAAAACCUAGGGCUUAACCCUGGGCUUGCAGUGGAUACGGGCAGACUAGAGGUAGGUAGGGGAGACUGGAAUUCCUGGUGUAGCGGUGAAAUGCGCAGAUAUCAGGAGGAACACCGGUGGCGAAGGCGGAUCUCUGGGCCUUACCUGACGCUCAGGUGCGAAAGCUAGGGGAGCGAACAGG